GAGGAAUACAAAAAUACUGGUUGGAAUUUUUAUUUUAACCUUAAUAGCAGCUGUGUUGCAGGCGGCGGGUUACGCUACACCAGGCUGGUUGGUCGUUUCAGGAACUUAGAAUUGACAAACAGAAGGAGCUUGACACAUUUAAGUUAAUAGCGACAGCGGCAGCGGUAAUAAGCCUCUUCACACCCGUUGUAGUGGCGGUGUACAUAAGAAGAUUACGACUUCAGCGGAACAUUACGAUCGUUGCUGGCACUGCACUGCUGUGCUCUUGUGCCUUGGUCCCGGAGUUCUUGCAUUGGUAGUUGUUAGUAAAAUAGCAAGCGGCGUACACAAGGCUUAUGACAUAUGGAUGAAGAUGGAGGAUACAGAUUUCAAAUUAGGCUUACUUUACUCCGAAAUGUUGAUGGGACUUGGAGGGGCACUUGAUUGUCUGGCUUUCAUCGGGCUGUGCAUCCAAUUAUUUUUCCGGAAGAAGACAUGUGGCGACAGUAGUGGGAAUGGAGAAUUUGUUGAAAUGGCGUGAGAUACGAAACAAUGAUGUUUUUUUUGUAUAACAAUGACAGUGUAACAUUUUUUUACCGCUAGAUAGGCUAUUAUCCCUUAAUUCAAACAUUUAGAAAUUGACAGCUACGUUACAGAAGCUGAAAGAUAUUUGAUAUCUUAAAGGAAUACCACACAUUUAUAUACCGUUUGCAGGAUGUUUCGCUUCUGGUUGUUAAGCAAAUAUAAGUUUUUUGCAAUUUUUCAUAUGUAGAAUGUACCUUUGUCUGAUUUCCCGAUAGUAGUAUCCGGCAAGUUUCUUGUUUUGCAAUGUCACUAUCUGACACGUUACUGGUUUGUUAGUAUCAAUAUCCAAUAUGUACCUGGCUUGAGAGGAUGCAGCGGUCCAGAGGUAACACUGUAUAAUACUACAAAACCAGGGGCUAUGAGUUCGAAAUAUAAACAUUGGGAUAAGAGUUUCGUUUACUGAUGCUUUACACUGGGCAUGCUAAAGAACCAGUGAAGCUUCUGAAACUGGAGCAUCUUUUGUAUUUUGCACUAUCCUCCCACUAAAAUUAUUAACAUUCUUCUGGAGGAAUAGUCCAUAUGGUUUACCGGUAGCAACUAUGAAUAAACUUAUAAACAAAAUAACAUAUGGCCUAAUGACUUUAGUCUGCCCACUUCAAUUUUGAAUGGAAAAAUAACUAAAAAUAACGAAUUCUCAUGUUUUUCAAUAACAUAUACUGUAUCGUAAAUAAGUUUCAAAGUCUUCUUAAGAAAUAUAGCAAUAAUUUUCUGAUAUCUUAAAAAUCUUCGUGCUUUGUUGACGUUUGAUCUUGAGGUUAGUGCCUUUAAAUAUUGAACACUGCUUAAGAUGAGCGCAAGGUUAUUUUGAAAGUAAUAAUACUGUAUGGCAUCAUGUUAUACCGGUAUUCUCAAUGUUUGAACAUACGCUGUAUUCUUAGGAGUUGUAGAGGUGUUUCAAGGUUUGUUUUUUCUACUUCAGCGCUGGCUUCUCCUAAUGUUAGUCAAGAAAACCCAGUUGAACUCGUAACUUUGGGACAUGGUGGGGGCAAGAGCGAGGUUGGAUGCGCACCAUAAACCGGUUUAAGCUCCCCAGUGGGUUCCAGUUCGGUGCCCUACUGUGUUUCUUUAUUUGUUCGUUUUGUCCUCGCGUGUUUGCUUUGUAUGUGUUGGUAGUGUGCACAUCUGCGUGCUUUGAAUUCCGUUUUGGGGAGGCUGUGUUUUUGCCAUGUGGCAUUCCCUGACUUAUAUUUAUCCCUUUUUUUGUUGUUGUUGUUUUUAUUUGUUUGGGGUUUUUUUUGGG